rnacentral:rRNA from 1 species
UACAGGGGGGGCAAGCGUUGUUCGGAAUUACUGGGCGUAAAGGGCUCGUAGGUGGCCAACUAAGUCAGACGUGAAAUCCCUCGGCUUAACCGGGGAACUGCAUCUGAUACUGGAUGGCUUGAGAUUGGGAGAGGGAUGCGGAAUUCCAGGUGUAGCGGUGAAAUGCGUAGAUAUCUGGAGGAACACCGGUGGCGAAGGCGGCAUCCUGGACCAACACUGACGCUGAGGAGCGAAAGCCAGGGGAGCAAACGGG